CUGGCAGCAGUGGAGUCUGUGAAGAGACACCAUGACCAAGGGAACUUAUAGAAGAAAGAGUAUAUUGUUGCUUACAGUUUCAAGGAUUCUGAGCUAUGGCUAUUAUGCUGAGGUACAUGGCAGCAGGCUGCGAAGAGAUACCAUGAGCAAGGGAACUUUUCGAAGAAAGAGUUUAUUGGGGCUUACAGUUUCAAGGAUCAUGAGUCUGUGAUCAGUAUGCAGGGGUACAUGGCAGCAGAAAAUUACAGGCCAA
rnacentral:sRNA from 1 species